GAUGAAAUUGAAAUAGGAUGAAAGCAAAACUUGAAACCGUCCAAAACCCACCAUGGCCCUCAAACUUGGAAACGCAUUUCCUCCCCUCCCAUGUUUCGCAGAGCAAGAAUCCUCAUCUACUCACUGCAUAAAAAGGGAGGAAGAUUGAAGGAAAAAGAACUGGAGCAAUCAAUAUUGGAACGCCCAGUCUGCUCAUCAAUCUGUCAUUAGUUCAAGAACUCGAAGUCCAGAAUUGCUUUAAUGACUCCGGUUCCAUGCUUUCUGUUUAAUAAUCUUCAAUCUGUAGAGCAUCAAUUCUUUAAAUGAUGGAAUCGCCUCUCACCUCGCACUCUCUGACGCAUAAGGGUUCCAUAAGAAGCAGAUGAAACUAUAUUUAAGGAAUUAAAAGCAAAAUGAGGAUCAGAGUUGGAGGGAGUUCAAGAAUAACAUGAAAGCAAAACAAAAUGGAAGCAUCAUGGUGAGUCAACAUAAGCACCGAUCAUGACUUCUUCGAGCAGUGAACCAAAGUCGCUCUUCUUCGUGGACAAGUCCAAAGGUACCUCAUUCAUACCUUUGUUUUUUUGUUUUUUUGUUUCGAGUGACAUAAUUGUCUUUUUUCGCUUUCAGUAAUUCAAUUGCUUCUGUACAUCAAAUCCCAAUUUCAGUUUAGCUGUCGGAAUUUGGUUUUUUGAGUUUAGAUAAGGUCGCUUUGUGUAAUCCCUCUAAUUUUACAUUUGUAUUGUUAUGAAUUUCUUAUUUUAGUUUUGGAAUAGAUUUAUUUAUUUAUUACCAUUUAUUGUUUCGUAUGAAAGGGUCUUAUGCCAAUGUACAAAUUUAUAACAAUACGUUUCGAAGUUUUUGAAGUUCACAUUCCAUUAGCAGCUAAUGCAGAUGGGGUUGUGGAUUUAAUUUAUGGGAUAAUUUGUGUAGCCUGUAAUCAUUGACAAUGUUUUGUUUAUGACAUUUUUUAAUGGGUUUUAUUUUUCGUUUGGUAGAAUGCAUUUUAUUGUGGUUUCAGUGUUUAGGGUGAUAGAGUGGUGGAGAUGCAGAUGGAGGUGUGGGUAUUUUGGCUCUGUUAAAAGGAAAUUGCAGGUUUAUGGUUUGGUUUAAACAAUUGUGUGGCUGUGUGUUUGCUUUAGGUGAAUGUGUCAUGAUGCAAGGGAAACUAUGUUUCUAGGUUUAAAUUCUGUGUUUCUAUGUACUAAUUGGGUGAUUUCUCAAUGUUUCUAUUAGGUUAUUUCAUAUGGAUGCUAGAAGGGACAUAAUUUGCUGUGGUGGCAAUUACACUAUCCAAUUUGCUGCAUGAGGUUUCCAAAGAAGAUAGUAGCAGGAGAGCAGAAAAUUGCUGCAGGAGGACAUUCAUGUACAAGAAGUAGCUAAAAGGAUUUUAAUUGUGAUGAAUUUUUUGUUUUUUGUUUUCCUUUUUCAAUGGUUGCAGUACUAGCUUCAAUUACUAUAUUUUGGUGUAACGAAUUUUGUUUUAAAUAAAGACUUAUUCAAUUGCA